rnacentral:rRNA from 1 species
UCGAGGAUCUUCGGCAAUGAGCGCAAGCCUGACCGAGCGACGCCGCGUGUGCGAUGAAGGCCUUCGGGUUGUAAAGCACUGUCGAGGGGGAGAAAAGCCGAAAGGUUUGAUCUAUCCCCGGAGGAAGCACGGGCUAAGUUCGUGCCAGCAGCCGCGGUAAGACGAACCGUGCGAACGUUGUUCGGAAUCACUGGGCUUAAAGGGCGCGUAGGCGGGCCUUCAAGUCCGGGGUGAAAUCCUCCAGCCCAACGGGAGAAGAGCCUCGGAGACUGAGGGCCUCGAGGAGGGUAGGGGCAAGCGGAACUAUGGGUGGAGCGGUGAAAUGCAUUGAUAUCCAUAGGAACUCCGGUGGCGAAGGCGGCUUGCUGGACCCUUUCUGACGCUGAGGCGCGAAAGCCAGGGGAGCAAACGGGAUUAGAUACCCCCGUAGUCC